rnacentral:rRNA from 1 species
AUUGAACGCUGGCGGCAGGCCUAACACAUGCAAGUCGAGCGGCAGCGGGAAAGUAGCUUGCUACUUUUGCCGGCGAGCGGCGGACGGGUGAGUAAUGCCUGGGAAAUUGCCCAGUCGAGGGGGAUAACAGUUGGAAACGACUGCUAAUACCGCAUACGCCCUACGGGGGAAAGCAGGGGACCUUCGGGCCUUGCGCGAUUGGAUAUGCCCAGGUGGGAUUAGCUAGUUGGUGAGGUAAUGGCUCACCAAGGCGACGAUCCCUAGCUGGUCUGAGAGGAUGAUCAGCCACACUGGAACUGAGACACGGUCCAGACUCCUACGAGAGGCAGCAGUGGGGUAUAUUGCACAAUGGGGGAAACCCUGAUGCAGCCAUGCCGCGUGUGUGAAGAAGGCCUUCGGGUUGUAAAGCACUUUCAGCGAGGAGGAAAGGUUGAUGCCUAAUACGCAUCAACUGUGACGUUACUCGCAGAAGAAGCACCGGCUAACUCCGUGCCAGCCGCCGCCGUAAGAC